AGAAAAUCUUGUUUAUAAUGAUUGUUAAAGUAAAUAAAAAGCUGUUUUAAAACUAUUUUUAUAAAAGCUCUUCUUUUAGUAAGCUGAAUUGAAUUAAAGUUAAAAUAACUAUAGUGAAAAGUACUGUGAAGGAAGGAUGAAAUAUUUUGAAAAAUAAAUUAAUAAAAAGUAAUGUUAAGUAAGUGUACCUUGUGUAUUAGGGAAGACUAAAAUAAUUUUUGAAUAAAAGAAAUCCCGAAAAAAGAAGAGUUAAUUUAAUAUAAAAGUUUUCGUUUUAAUGAAAUUUUUAAUAGUAUUUUAGUGGUGAAAUGCCAGCCGAUUCUUUAUAUCUGGUUAUUGAUGAAUAAAAUUUAAUUUGUUUAUUUUUUUUGAUUAUAAAAAUUAAAAAAUAGAUAAGAAUAGGAGGGAAAAGCCUCUUAUUCUAUUAUAAUUAAAUUAUAGUGUAUAAUGUAUAAAUGAUGUUAAAUUAGGCUCAAAAGCAGCAAUAUUUUUAAAGCGUUCUAGCUAAUAUAGUUUAAAAAUAAUAUUUUUAUAAAAACUUAAUUUUAGUAAUCAAUAUUCUGAAUUAAUAUAAAAUUCAGAGUUAAACUGGUCUUAUUAGUAGAAUUAUGUUGUAUAAAUGAAAUAAUUGAAUGAAAUAAAGAUUGUUAAAAUGUGAAAGAUAUAAUUAAGGAACUCGGCAAACAUUGCUUUUGCCUGUUUAUCAAAAACAUGUCUGUAUGAUUGUUAUAUAGAGUCUAGCCUGCCCACUGAUAAAGUUGAAGGGCCGCGGUAUUCUGACCGUGCGAAGGUAGCAUAAUCAUUAGUCUUUUAAUUGAAGGCUUGUAUGAAUGGUUGGACAAAAAGUGAGCUGUCUCAAUUAUAUUAUUUGAAGUUAACUUUUAAGUGAAAAGGCUUAAAUAAAUUAGAGGGACGAUAAGACCCUAUAAAGCUUUACAAUUAUUUAGUUAAGUUAUAAAUUGUUGGUCUAACUUAAUUUAAUUAAUAUUUGUUUCGUUGGGGCGACGAGAAUAAAAUUAAGUAACUGUUCUUUUGUAAAUAAUUACAAAUCUAUUUGGUAAAAAAUUGAUCCUUUAUUAAAGAUUAAAAGAUUAAGUUACUUUAGGGAUAACAGCGUAAUCUUCUUUGAGAGUCCAUAUCGACAAGAAGGGUUGCGACCUCGAUGUUGAAUUAAAGUAUCCUUAUGGUGUAGCAGUUGUAAGGGAGGGUCUGUUCGACCUUUAAUUCUUUACAUGAUUUGAGUUCAGACCGGCGUAAGCCAGGUCGGUUUCUAUCUUCUAAAUAUAAAAAAUCACCUUAGUACGAAAGGAUUAGGUGGUUAGAAAACUUCUUUUAAAGUAGAAUAAUUUUAAUAG
rnacentral:rRNA from 1 species